rnacentral:rRNA from 1 species
CACGUAGGGCGCAAGCGUUGUCCGGAAUUAUUGGGCGUAAAGAGCUCGUAGGCGGCUUGUCGCGUCGGCUGUGAAAACCUGGGGCUCAACCCCGGGCCUGCAGCCGAUACGGGCAAGCUAGAAUUCGGUAGGGGAGACUGGAAUUCCUGGUGUAGCGGUGAAAUGCGCAGAUAUCGUAAGGAAGACCAGUGGCGAAGGCGGGUCUCUGGACAGUUCCUGACGCUGAGGCACGAAGGCCAGGGGAGCAAACGGG